rnacentral:rRNA from 1 species
GACGAACGCUGGCGGCGUGCUUAACACAUGCAAGUCGAACGGAAAGGCCCUGCUUGCAGGGUACUCGAGUGGCGAACGGGUGAGUAACACGUGGGUGAUCUGCCCUGCAAUUCGGGAUAAGGAUGGGAAACUGGGUCUAAUACGGGAUAGGAGCAAUUUUUAGUGUGAUGGUUGGAAAGUUUUUUCGGUGUAGGAUGAGCUCGCGGCCUAUCAGCUUGUUGGUGGGGUAAUGGCCUACCAAGGCGGCGACGGGUAGCCGGCCUGAGAGGGUGGACGGCCACAUUCGGACUGAGAUACGGCCCAGACUCCUACUGGAGGCAGCAGUGGGGAAUAUUGCACAAUGGGCGCAAGCCUGAUGCAGCGACGCCGCGUGGGGGAUGACGGCCUUCGGGUUGUAAACUCCUUUCGCUAGGGACGAAGCUUUUUGUGACGGUACCUAGAUAAUAAGCACCGGCUAACUACGUG